rnacentral:rRNA from 1 species
GAUGAACGCUGGCGGCGUGCCUAAUACAUGCAAGUCGAGCGAACAGACGAGGAGCUUGCUCCUCUGACGUUAGCGGCGGACGGGUGAGUAACACGUGGUUAACCUACCUAUAAGACUGGGAUAACUUCGGGAAACCGGAGCUAAUACCGGAUAAUAUAUUGAACCGCAUGGUUCAAUAGUGAAAGACGGUUUUGCUGUCACUUAUAGAUGGAUCCGCGCCGCAUUAGCUAGUUGGUAAGGUAACGGCUUACCAAGGCAACGAUGCGUAGCCGACCUGAGAGGGUGAUCGGCCACACUGGAACUGAGACACGGUCCAGAGUCCUACGGGAGGCAGCAGUAGGGAAUCUUCCGCAAUGGGCGAAAGCCUGACGGAGCAACGCCGCGUGAGUGAUGAAGGUCUUCGGAUCGUAAAACUCUGUUAUUAGGGAAGAACAAAUGUGUAAGUAACUAUGCACGUCUUGACGGUACCUAAUCAGAAAGCCACGGCUAACUACGUG